rnacentral:rRNA from 1 species
GACGAACGCUGGCGGCGUGCCUAAUACAUGCAAGUUGAGCGAUGAAGAUUGGUGCUUGCACCAAUUUGAAGAGCAGCGAACGGGUGAGUAACGCGUGGGGAAUCUGCCUUUGAGCGGGGGACAACAUUUGGAAACGAAUGCUAAUACCGCAUAACAACUUUAAACAUAAGUUUUAAGUUUGAAAGAUGCAAUUGCAUCACUCAAAGAUGAUCCCGCGUUGUAUUAGCUAGUUGGUGAGGUAAAGGCUCACCAAGGCGAUGAUACAUAGCCGACCUGAGAGGGUGAUCGGCCACAUAGGGACUGAGACACGGCCCAAACUCCUACGGGAGGCAGCAGUAGGGAAUCUUCGGCAAUGGACGAAAGUCUGACCGAGCAACGCCGCGUGAGGGAAGAAGGUUUUCGGAUCGUAAAACUCUGUUGGUAGAGAAGAACGUUGGUGAGAGUGGAAAGCUCAUCAAGUGACGGUAACUACCCAGAAAGGGACGGCUAACUACGUG